AUGAACGCUAGCGGCAGGCUUAAUACAUGCAAGGUUGAGGGGCAGCAUGAUAUACGCGAGUAUAUUGAUGGCGACCGGCGGGACGGGUGAGUAAUAGGUAGGAGACCUACCUCAUACAGGGGGAUAGCAUAGAGAAAUCUGUGGUAAUACCCCAUGAGGUUAUAUGAAUAGAGGCAUAUAAUCAAAGCAUAAGCGAUUAUGCGGUAUGAGAGGGGCCUACUGACCAUUAGCUAGUUGGUGAGGUAAGGGCUCACCAAGGCGAAGAUGGUUAGGGGUUUUGAGAGAGAGACCCCCCACAUUGGAACUGAGAGACGGUCCAGACUCCUACGGGAGGCAGCAGUAGGGAAUAUUGGGCAAUGGGCGAAAGCCUGACCCAGCCAUGCCGCGUGAAGGAAGACGGCCUUAUGGGUUGUAAACUUCUUUACUACGCGAAUAGAGGUUAGUACGAGAUACUAAUAGGAAGGUAGUGUAGUAAAAAGCACCGGCUAACUCCGUG
rnacentral:rRNA from 1 species